rnacentral:rRNA from 1 species
CCUACGGGAGGCAGCAGUGGGGAAUAUUGCACAAUGGGGGCAACCCUGAUGCAGCGACGCCGCGUGAGUGAAGAAGUACUUCGUUAUGUAAAGCACUAUCAGCAGGGAAGAAAAUGACGGUAUCUGUGUAAGAAGCCCCGGCUAACUACGUGCCAGCAGCCGCGGUAAUACGUAGGGGGCAAGCGUUAACCGGAUUUACUGGGUGUAAAGGGAGCGUAGACUGCUGUGCAAGUCUGGAGUGAAAGGCGGGGGCUCAACCCCCGGACUGCUCUGGAAACUGUACGGCUGGAGUGCAGGAGAGGUAAGUAGAAUUCCUAGUGUAGCGGUGAAAUGCGGAGAUAUUAGGAGGAACACCAGUGGCGAAGGCGGCUUACUGGACUGUGACUGACGUUGAGGCUCGAAAGCGUGGGGAGCAAACAGGAUUAGAUACCCCUGUAGUC